rnacentral:rRNA from 1 species
UACGUAGGGUGCAAGCGUUGUCCGGAAUUAUUGGGCGUAAAGAGCUCGUAGGCGGUCUGUCGCGUCUGCUGUGAAAUCCCGGGGCUCAACUCCGGGCUUGCAGUGGAUACGGGCAGACUAGAGUUCGGUAGGGGAGACUGGAAUUCCUGGUGUAGCGGUGAAAUGCGCAGAUAUCAGGAGGAACACCGAUGGCGAAGGCAGAUCUCUGGGCCGUAACUGACGCUGAGGAGCGAAAGCAUGGGGAGCGAACAGG